CUCUGGUGUAAACCUCCCAGCAGAAGAGGUCAGCGCACCUGAGGUUCAGGUUGUUUCAGAACCUGCCAGUGAUUCUUUCCAACAUCAACAUGACGAAUCCACUGAAGAACCAGUGCCAGAGUUAGAAGAGGUGCCUGAAGAGUCAUCAGAGAGUGAGAUAUCUGUGGUUGAAGAGAACAUCAGCCCAACUCCACCUGAUAACGCAGCAGAAGGAUUUCCACUGGCAGUGACAAAGGACCCACAGUAAGAUGCAACCUGCACAUGA